rnacentral:rRNA from 1 species
UACCUGGUUGAUCCUGCCAGUAGCCAUAUGCUCGUUUUAAAGGUUAAGCCAUGCAAGUCUCAGUACAGGUCGCUUACGGCCGAAACCGCGGAUGGCUCAUUAUAUCAGUUUUAAUCCGUAUGAUUUAUCACAAUUGGAUACCUGUGGCAAUUCUAGAGCUAAUACAUUAUUAUAAUAAAUUUACACUCUAUCCUUUCUGGUUCAGAGUCUGUAAAAGCAAUCAUCACCACCAUAAACCGAUCAUAAAAAGGAAUUCUCCUUUGGUGCUAUGGUGAUUCAGGAUGAGCGUUGCAGAGCGCAAAGGUCAUUGAACCGCCGCUAUAUUAUGCGAGUUUCUGCCCUAUCAACUUUACUGUAAGGUAUUGGCCUACAGUGGUGUUCACGGGUAACGGGGAAUCUGGGUUCGAUUCCGGAGAGGGAGCCUGAUAAACGGCUACCACAUCCAAGGAAGGCAGCAGGCGCGGAAAUUAACCUAAUACUAGCUCUGUGAGUUAGUGACGAAAAAUAUUGAUGUGUGUCUCCUAAUGGAGCCUCACGAUCGAAAUGAGUUUAUCUUAAAUCCUUACUGCAAGGAGCUAUCGGAGGGCAAGCCUGGUGCCAGCAGCGCGGUAAUUCCAGCUCCUUUAGCGUAAUUUAAUAUUGCUGCGGUUAAAGUGCUCGUCGUUGGAUUUCUUUAAACGGUGCUGGGCACCCGUGCCUUGAUUUCGAGCUUUAUCCUAUAAAGUCUUUACAUUUGUAAUUUUCCCUUCCCUCUUCGAGGAUGGGUUAUACUAGUUUUGAAUAACGGAAAGCUCGCACCUUGAAUGGGUGUCUAGCCAGAAUAUUUAAGUAUCUAGCAGUAGCGUAAAGCUAUCUAUGCUAGAAACGAGGUUGGUACACUAAAUGCUCUUUGUUGUGUGUUUAGUGGUGCCGACACUUUUCACUUUAAUAAAAUUGGAGUGUUCAUAGCAGGUGUUAAUAUUUUCGAGUCGCCUGACUAAAGACGUCUGGAAUGAAGGAAUAAGACCUCUGUUCGGAUAUUUCUGAUCGAUUUUUUUGUUCGAAGCUGAGGUAAUGAUUAACAGGGACUGCCGGGGGCAUUAGUAUUGCAGCGCGAGAGGUGAAAUUCUAUGACCGUUGCAAGACUACCUACUGCGAAAGCAUUUGCCAAGAAUGUUCUUAUUAAUCAUGAACUAAAGUUAGAGGAUCGAAGGCGAUCAGAUACCGCCCUAGUUCUAACCCUAAACAAUGCUAACCAGCAAUCCGCUCGUGUCACUGGGGACUGAGCGGGAUCCCCCGGGAAACCAGAGUCUUUGAGUUCCGGGGGGAGUAUGGUUGCAAAACUGAAACUUAAAGGAAUUGACGGAAGGGCACCACCAGAAGUGGCCUGCGGCUUAAUUUGACUCAACACGGGGAAACUCACCAGGUCCGGACCCCGGAAGGAUUGACAGAUUAAAGUUCUUUCUCGAUUCGGAGGAAGGUGGUGCAUGGCCGUUCUUAGUUGGUGGAGUGAUUUGUCUGGUUGAUUCCGAUAACGAACGAGAUUCUUUCCUCCUAAUUUGUCGUCGGAUCGAAACCUGAAACGGGAACAGAUUCCUCCUUUUUAGUGCGCGGUAAUGUUCGCAAUUCGAUGAAAAUUAAGAAUUUUCGUGCAGUCUCUGCUCUAUUAUAUUUUUCAUCGAUUCGAGCUUGUCGUUCCUAUUAUUGGAAAACCCGUCAAAGGUUGUCCGUCGAAAUAAAAUAUUUCUUCAUCUUAGCGGUAUCGGCGGUGUCCAGCCGCACUAAAAAGAGCAAUAACAGGUCUGUGAUGCCCUUAGAUGUUCUGGGCUGCACGCGCGCGACAAUGAAGGGAGCAGCGUGUUGUCCCAUUCCGAAAGGAAAUGGCAAUCAUUUGAAACCCCUUCUCGAUUGGGAUUGGGGAUUGUAAGUUUUUCUCAUAAACGAGGAAUUCCUUGUACGCGUAGGUCGUUCAGCUUUCGCUGAAUACGUCCCUGCCCUUUGUACACACCGCCCGUCGCUACUUCCGAUUGAAGUGGCUGAGUGAGGUUAUUGGACUGUCGUUAAACGCAAAUUUUGCUAAAAAAAUGGACAGGAAGAUGCCCCGAACUUGGUCAUUUAGAGGAAGUAAAAGUCGUAACAAGGUUUCCGUAGUGAACCUGCGGAAGGAUCAUUA